rnacentral:tRNA from 1 species
GGGGUUGUGGCUCAGUGAUAGAGCACUUGCCUAGCACAUGCAAGUCGCUGGGUUCAAUCCUCAGCCCCA